rnacentral:rRNA from 1 species
GAUGAACGCUGGCGGCGUGCUUAACACAUGCAAGUCGAACGAAGCACUUUAUUUGAUUUCCUUCGGGACUGAUUAUUUUGUGACUGAGUGGCGGACGGUUGAGUAACGCGUGGGUAACCUGCCUUGUACAGGGGGAUAACAGGUGGAAACGGCUGCUAAUACCGCAUAAGCGCACGGCAUCGCAUGAUGCAGUGUGAAAAACUCCGGUGGUAUAAGAUGGACCCGCGUUGUAUUAGCUAGUUGGUGAGGUAGCGGCCCACCAAGGCGACGAUCCAUAGCCGACGUGAGAGGGUGACCGGCCACAUUGGGACUGAGACACGGCCCAAACUGCUACGGGAGGCAGCAGAGGGGAAUAUUGCACAAUGGGCGAGAGGCUGAUGCAGCGACGCCGCGUGAGCGACGAAGUAUUUCGGUAUGUAAAGCUCUAUCAGCAGGGAAGAUAAUGACGGUACCUGACUAAGAAGCACCGGCUAAAUACGUG